UACGUAGGGCGCAAGCGUUGUCCGGAAUUAUUGGGCGUAAAGAGCUCGUAGGCGGCUUGUCACGUCGGGUGUGAAAGCCCGGGGCUUAACCCCGGGUCUGCAUUCGAUACGGGCUAGCUAGAGUGUGGUAGGGGAGAUCGGAAUUCCUGGUGUAGCGGUGAAAUGCGCAGAUAUCAGGAGGAACACCGGUGGCGAAGGCGGAUCUCUGGGCCAUUACUGACGCUGAGGAGCGAAAGCCAGGGGAGCGAACGGG
rnacentral:rRNA from 1 species